GGGGAAUAUUGGACAAUGGGGGCAACCCUGAUCCAGCAAUUCUGUGUGCACGAAGAAGGUUUUCGGAUUGUAAAGUGCUUUCAGCAGGGAAGAAGCAAGUGACGGUACCUGCAGAGGAAGCGACGGCUAAAUACGUGCCAGCAGCCGCGGUAAUACGUAUGUCGCAAGCGUUAUCCGGAAUUAUUGGGCAUAAAGGGCAUCUAGGCGGCCAGAUAAGUCUGGGGUGAAAACUUGCGGCUCAACCGCAAGCCUGCCCUGGAAACUAUGUGGCUAGAGUACUGGAGAGGUGGACGGAACUGCACGAGUAGAGGUGAAAUUCGUAGAUAUGUGCAGGAAUGCCGAUGAUGAAGAUAGUUCACUGGACGGUAACUGACGCUGAAGUGCGAAAGCUAGGGGAGCAAACAGGAUUAGAUACCCUGGUAGUCCUAGCUGUAAACGAUGAUUACUGGGUGUGGGCAUGAAGAGUGUCCGUGCCGAAGCUAAUGCGAUAAGUAAUCCGCCUGGGGAGUACGGCCGCAAGGCUG
rnacentral:rRNA from 1 species